CAGAAAAUAGUUUAANUAGAAUAAUAACUUUGGGAGUUAUUGGUAUAAAUAUAGAGUUUUGUUUUUCUGA
rnacentral:tRNA from 1 species